UCUGCCGUGAAAGUCCGGGGCUCAACUCCGGAUCUGCGGUGGGUACGGGCAGACUAGAGUGAUGUAGGGGAGACUGGAAUUCCUGGUGUAGCGGUGAAAUGCGCAGAUAUCAGGAGGAACACCGAUGGCGAAGGCAGGUCUCUGGGCAUUAACUGACGCUGAGGAGCGAAAGCAUGGGGAGCGAACAGGAUUAGAUACCCUGGUAGUCCAUGCCGUAAACGUUGGGCACUAGGUGUGGGGGACAUUCCACGUUUUCCGCGCCGUAGCUAACGCAUUAAGUGCCCCGCCUGGGGAGUACGGCCGCAAGGCUAAAACUCAAAGGAAUUGACGGGGGCCCGCACAAGCGGCGGAGCAUGCGGAUUAAUUCGAUGCAACGCGAAGAACCUUACCAAGGCUUGACAUGAACCGGUAAUACCUGGAAACAGGUGCCCCGCUUGCGGUCGGUUUACAGGUGGUGCAUGGUUGUCGUCAGCUCGUGUCGUGAGAUGUUGGGUUAAGUCCCGCAACGAGCGCAACCCUCGUUCUAUGUUGCCAGCACGUGAUGGUGGGGACUCAUAGGAGACUGCCGGGGUCAACUCGGAGGAAGGUGGGGACGACGUCAAAUCAUCAUGCCCCUUAUGUCUUGGGCUUCACGCAUGCUACAAUGGCCGGUACAAAGGGUUGCGAUACUGUGAGGUGGAGCUAAUCCCAAAAAGCCGGUCUCAGUUCGGAUUGGGGUCUGCAACUCGACCCCAAGAA
rnacentral:rRNA from 1 species